ACCCGCUGAAUUUAAGCAUAUCAAUAAGCGGAGGAAAAGAAACCAACAGGGAUUGCCCCAGUAACGGCGAGUGAAGCGGCAACAGCUCAAAUUUGAAAUCUGGCUCCUCUUAGGGGUCCGAGUUGUAAUUUGUAGAGGAUGCUUUUGGCGAGGUUCCUUCCGAGUCCGCUGGAACGCGGCGCCGGAGAGGGUGAGAGCCCCGUACGGUUGGACGCCGAGCCUGUGUAAAGCUCCUUCGACGAGUCGAGUAGUUUGGGAAUGCUGCUCUAAAUGGGGGGUGUACUCCUUCUAAAGCUAAAUAUAGGCCAGAGACCGAUAGCGCACAAGUAGAGUGAUCGAAAGAUGAAAAGCACUUUGAAAAGAGGGUUAAAUAGUACGUGAAAUUGCUGAAAGGGAAGCGCUUGUGACCAGACUUGAGCCUGCGGAUCACCUAGCCCCGGCUAGGGCAUACCGCCGGCUCAGGCCAGCACCGGUUCGUCUCGGGGGGUAAAGGCCUGGGGAAUGUGGCUCUUCGGAGUGUUAUAGCCCCUAGCACAAUACCCUGGGAUGGACCGAGGCUCGCGCUCUAUGCAAGGGUGCUGGCGUAAUGGUCAUCAGCGGCCCGUCUUGAAACACGGACCAAGGAG
rnacentral:rRNA from 1 species